rnacentral:rRNA from 1 species
AGAGUUUGAUCAUGGCUCAGAACGAACGCUGGCGGCAGGCUUAACACAUGCAAGUCGAACGCAUCCUUCGGGGUGAGUGGCAGACGGGUGAGUAACGCGUGGGAACGUGCCCUUCAGUUCGGGAUAACCCAGGGAAACUUGGGCUAAUAACGGAUACGUGCGAGAGCAGAAAGAUUUAGCGCUGAAGGAUCGGCCCGCGUCUGAUUAGCUAGUUGGUAGGGUAAUGGCCUACCAAGGCGACGAUCAGUAGCUGGUCUGAGAGGAUGAUCAGCCACAUUGGGACUGAGACACGGCCCAGACUCCUACGGGAGGCAGCAGUGGGGAAUAUUGGACAAUGGGCGCAAGCCUGAUCCAGCCAUGCCGCGUGAGUGAUGAAGGCCUUAGGGUUGUAAAGCUCUUUCGUCCGGGACGAUAAUGACGGUACCGGAAGAAGAAGCCCCGGCUAACUUCGUGCCAGCCGCCGCGGUAAUAC